rnacentral:sRNA from 1 species
UUUGAUGCUGAUUGGCACACUCCCUGCUCAUGUAUCCGCAGACAUCGAGCCUGUCGGCACACGGCAGGCUCCCCGAAACGAAUCGGGACCGGACAAAGGCGUCCUUGCACUCACGGUGCAGGACGCC